rnacentral:lncRNA from 1 species
AAUGGCCUCGCGGCCGGCUGGGGCAAUAUGGGCGGUGGUGCCACACAACUCAUCAUGCCGCUUGUUUUCCACGCCAUCCAAAAAUGUGGUGCCACACCAUUUGUGGCAUGGCGUAUUGCCUACUUCGUGCCCGGAAUGAUGCACAUCGUGAUGGGCUUGCUGGUACUCACCAUGGGGCAAGAUCUCCCUGAUGGGAACCUCGCGAGCCUCCAGAAGAAGGGAGACAUGGCCAAGGACAAGUUCUCCAAGGUCCUUUGGGGCGCCGUCACCAACUACCGGACAUGGAUCUUUGUCCUCCUAUAUGGCUACUGCAUGGGUGUCGAACUCACCACUGACAAUGUCAUUGCCGAGUACUACUUCGACCACUUCCACCUAGACCUUCGCGCCGCUGGUACCAUCGCCGCCUGCUUCGGCAUGGCCAACAUAGUCGCACGUCCUAUGGGCGGCUACCUCUCUGACCUUGGCGCCCGCUAUUUCGGCAUGCGUGCUCGCCUUUGGAACAUCUGGAUCCUCCAAACCGCUGGUGGCGCUUUCUGCAUCUGGCUCGGUCGUGCAUCGGCCCUCCCUGCCUCGGUGACCGCCAUGGUCCUCUUCUCCAUCUGUGCCCAAGCUGCCUGUGGUGCUAUCUUUGGUGUCGCACCCUUCGUCUCCAGGCGUUCCCUUGGCAUCAUUUCCGGGUUGACCGGUGCCGGUGGAAACGUGGGCGCAGGACUCACACAACUUCUAUUCUUCACCUCAUCGCAAUACUCCACUGGUAGGGGUCUCGAGUACAUGGGCAUCAUGAUCAUGGCAUGCACGCUGCCCGUCGCUCUUGUGCACUUUCCACAAUGGGGAUCCAUGUUCUUCCCGGCCAGCGCUGAUGCCACUGAGGAGGAGUACUAUGCUUCCGAGUGGUCGGAGGAGGAGAAGGGCAAGGGUCUCCAUAUCGCAGGCCAAAAGUUCGCCGAGAACUCCCGCUCGGAGCGCGGCAGGCGCAACGUCAUCCUCGCCACAUCCGCCACGCCGCCCAACAACACACCCCAGCACGUAUAAGGCACUUCUUUUUGUUACCUAUGAAUUUUACAGUUCAUGGCGUAUAUAUACAAACAGUAUAUUUACGUCUGCAGCCCCAGCGUAAUAAGUUGUAUGGGGGUUUAUCUUUCUACUAUGGUAAACCCAAGGACAUGUAUUGUCAAAUUGAGUCCGAAAUUACUACAUGAACAGUGUUGAUGUUUGUGUAUGCUUUCGUACAUCUUCCUUCAAGAAAAUAUCGAAUGCUUGCACUUUCAAUGUAUUACAAAGUUGAGUCCGAAAUUACAGCCAAUGUCCAAUUCAAAAUAUAUAGAUGGAUACAAAGUCCAUUUUGCCGUCCCAUAUAUUAUUUGUUCUGACCCCAAACUGACCAAGACUCUUUAUAUUUUUGCGGAAAAACUGGCCAAGACUCACGAGGUGCAAAAUCCAAUAAGCAAACCAUGUAACUAAUCAAUUUAAACGGUUUGAAUUGGUCCCAAAUGUUGUAGCCACUGCCUGCCACGCCAGCUGAUCCUAGCUAUAGUACUAAUAACCGUUAGUAUAAGUGGGACCCAAAUGGUAGUGGCUGGAAGGAUUAAUCUGUGUUACUUUUCUUCUUAUGAUAAUUCAAAUCUCAAUGCGAAAUAACUAAGAUCUUGUUUGGGAUACAUAUUUUCCUCCGUUGGUCUUUUGAAUCGUAGGAUUGAAUCCUAUAUGAGAUUUUUCUUAAGAUUUUUCUGUACUAAUUUCAUAGGCGUUUUCGUUUUAACAUCGUCCAAUCAUUUCUUUUUCUUGGAAAGAACCAUUUGGUUUUCCUAGGAUGCAAUCAAAUGGAUCAAAUUCCCGUCACAUUCAAAUGGAAAUGAUGGUGCAUUUCUAUGGUUUUUUUUUUCUAUUCCUGCGUUUUUUGGUAGUCUAGAAAUCUAGCCCUUUUUCUUCCUAUGGCGCCGUACUGAAGGCUGUAUGUGCCUCAUCCGUAGUUCCGUACCAGCCCUUCUUACAUACGUACUGCAUGGAUGAUUAGCUACUGGUUGACGUACGUACCCAUGUUCCGUACGCACGUCAGUUGGAGGCCUUAUCAGUUGUCGUGUCAGCUGAUAAUGCAUGUGCACAUCCGUUGAUGAGUAGCUAGCGUGUAAAUGAGUUCUUAUCCGAGAACAUUUUGGCUUUUCUUCAUGUAAAGGUCGAUUGAUUCACACACCGGUAUAUGUAUAUAUACGGGAUUAAAUUCAUACUCACGGUUAUAGUGGAAGAGCGCUUCAACAGAUAUUUAUAAAUUAGGCUCAGUUUCUUCCUCUUCUAAAAAUAUCAAAAGGUCAAUUGAACAAGUGUCACCAUGAAGUAGCAAGAAUCAACCAAAAAGUAUUUUCUUGUCACAGUGACACAGCAUGCAUGAUCCAUGGAAAUUAGUGGACAACCACAACCUAGAGUUGAAUACUACCACAAGUGCCGACCACAAGAACCGUUCACACAAACAUAUGUACUUCUGCUACUAACCAUUCGUGGCAGCCCGAUGUUCAUGGGUCCUGUUUGGAUCCAUGGGUUAGAGUUAGAGUUGAUUAGAUUGGACCGAACUAACACCAAAACAUUCAAACAGGAGGGUUAGAGUUCGUUAGAUGCAUCUAACCCACCCAAAAGAACUAACCCACCCAAGAGGUGCUUAUUUGGGUUAGAGUUAGGCGGGAUCCAGAAAAAAUUACUUGUCCCUCUACCUUCACCACACAAAAUCCUGGAUAAAGGAGUCAAAUGAUUGAAAAAGUGCAUUUAUUGAUAAUCUAACCCUUCCAUCCGAACUCCUCUUUGGUUAGAGUUAGUUCAAGGUUAGUAUAGAGUUAGAAUCUAACUCUAACCUAUAACUGAGUUAGAGUAUCCAAACAGAACCAUGGAAGCGUCCUUGAUUAAACAAAUAAAAGUACAGCUCAGAUGCCUCUUGGAGCUGAUCAACCCACGUUGAAUGCUUAUCACCAGCGACGACGACAUUGCAAUACAUAAUUCAGCUACAAUUAAUCAUGUCAAGCUAAAGGGGCAAAACAAAACAGCUAGAUGCAAGGUCGGCAAACAAAACAGCUAUUUUCCGUAUAUGAUUUCUUGAUCAGGAAAACUUACAUAAAUAACCCAUUACAAGCAUAUUUAGGAAUCCCUAGAUAUGAAUGUAGUGUCCCUUCCGUCACGUCCGAUUUGGUACAUAUGAAUGUAGCAUUAGUUCUGCAUUAGUUCGACAUGUGAUCUUUUUUGUGUUCUGUCUAGCCCUUGAGAAAGUCUUCUUGUAUAUCUGUAGAAAUGUUUAAAACUUCACAAUAAAUAUUGAUGUGUGCAUAAAUGGAUCCAGAAGCCGGAAUCCACCAUUAAAAAAAUGGAUGUGGAUAUCACUAGUGUGGAACGAAAAUUCGGAAUGAAUUAAGCAGCAAGCACAUCGAGUCACAUGGAUAUAUUUCUUGACUGUGGGAGAUAUUGCUAAUUUAUUUCCAGAACUAACUAUCCUCUGAAUACACGAUGUGCUUAAAUUCUAUGGAAAGCAGAUACAUAGUACUAGGUUCGGUGUUUGAGUUUAUAGUUUAGCAAAUUGUACACCUUAAAUUUUAGGUACUAAUAUCUAAAUUGUAUGACAAAAAAUUAAUUAAGGACUACGGUGGGUAGAGGGCCGGGGGUGGUGCAAAUGCCCUGCCUGGCCAUGUUGGAGCUCAAUACUAGAUGUGUAGGACCUAAAUAUUUUUCGCUCGGCUUUAGAAAAAUCUUGUGAGCAAAGAUCAGGUGGUUGUAUGGUUGGUAGCGUGGACAUCUUUUGCCCCUUUUAAAACAUAGGCAGGGCUAUUGUAGUGUCCUGCUUCCUGGCAUGUAACACUCUUUAUUUUCUUCUAGAAUACAUCCCUGUCUCCCUGGAAAAGCCAAAACACCCUUUCAACAAGCCUAAUGCUAGUCUACUCUCUUGCUAUUACAUAAUCAUCAUUCAUACAGCAUUCAAUUAUACACACCUAAUGGACAUAUGUUGUUUAUUUGCACCAACCUGGUCACCAAAGUAGUACUACUAGCUGAUGAGAUCACCGAUGGUGCAGCGAGAACAUCAAUCACUAGAUAUAAUAUUUCAUGUGUAAUAAUAGUAUAUUCAUUUGGAGAAUAAAUGCACCUACCUAGGUAACUCUUCAGAGUGAACUCCUUGCACAGUUUUGUACUUGACUAGUAGCAAUCAGUUCCACAUGCCAAAUUGUUAUUUGCGGGAAAACAAUGGAAUAUGCAUUGCCAGACUCUCAGUUAUAGAUAUAACGUACACAUAAAUUUACUUUGAUGACCCUGAUAAAUUCAAAGGGACAUACAUACACUAUCUCUCAUUUAUAUGCAUGUUUAUAGUUUUAGAUACCAUGCUAUUAGUAUUAUUAUCGAAACACAUAAACAAAAGAAAGCAUCUAACCAAUAAUAUUACCGAAAUCUUAUUGAAUGAUUGUUUCUUGCCAGUGUUUUUUUGGGGAACGCUCACUGGUGCAUCCAAUCCCGCCCUCGAAUCUCAAAGCGGUGACAGUGUGGGGAUCCCUGUUUGCCCCCUUUCAUCCUCCCUUGCGAAUGAUAUAAACGUUCGCUCUCAUGCAGCCUCUUGAACGAACGACGCGAACUUUCACUCCCAUACACCUCCCGAAUGUACGACCUCAAGUGUAGAAUGACACUCCCCUAUGAUGUUAGUAUGACAAUGACUGGAAGCACAUAUGGCAACUUCUUCAUGUAUGGUAACUUCUCUCUGUAGUAUGGAAAUCCACCCUGUCGUAGUAUGGCAAUUCCUGAACAUGUGGGCAACUUCCCUUUUCCUAGCUUGGCAAUUGUCUCUCUGCUGCAACAUGGCGAAUCCUUGAAAUGUAUGACAAUUCUUUCUGCUAUAGCAUGACAACUAUUUCUUCUUAGCAUGGCUAAUCUAUCUGUUAUAGAAUCGAAAAUCUCUCUCUUAUAGCAUGACAAUUCUUGAAACGUUCUUGAGAGUCUUUUUUUAAGGGAACACUCUUUAGAGGCAUCGCCCCCUCGAAUGGGCCUCCCAGAGCGAACAAUCUUUCGCGUAGGGACACCAGGAAGGAAACAUUCCCUCCCUAUUAGAGCUCUAAUGUUAUACAUAACAAGGUGUGCUUUGGUACACCCUCCCCCCCCCCCCCCNNNNNNNNNNNNNNNNNNNNNNNNNNNNNNNNNNNNNNNNNNNNNNNNNNNNNNNNNNNNNNNNNNNNNNNNNNNNNNNNNNNNNNNNNNNNNNNNNNNNNNNNNNNNNNNNNNNNNNNNNNNNNNNNNNNNNNNNNNNNNNNNNNNNNNNNNNNNNNNNNNNNNNNNNNNNNNNNNAUUGUACACUACAGGCUGUCGUACAUGUGCAAUACGAGGUGGGUAUACGUAUGGCUGCCUGUAGUGUACAAUAGUGUACAAUACGAGGUGGGUAUAUGUUUCCCCUUCUACGUUUUGUGAGGGAGGGGGUGUACCGAAGCAAAAGUGAUACAUUUAACGGAAAAUGAUUGAAAUAUUGGAAGGGAAAAUUAAACUGUGAAUUCCGGAUGCCCAAAAUGACUUUUGAAGAUGCCUAGUUUGAAAUCGUAAUUACAUUUGCAGCAUGACAAGUUAAAUGGAUUUUCUCGGGGAGGCCUGAUAUCAUAUAAUAGAUAGAAAAUAAUAUUCGAAUCCAUAUGGAAAUAAACUCAGUUGGUAGGACUGUACAUCUACUCUCUCAUCGGAGUGAAUUAGCCUCACUACCUUCCCAGUAGUAGGAUAUCUCGAGGCCAUUUUUCCCAGUUAGAGUAGGAUUGAUGCCCCCCACCCACCCCCCACCCCCAUGCAUCGAUUCAAGCAUAAUUUCAAAAAAGAAAGUCAAACGCAUUAAGCUGAACAAAACCAGGGUACAAUACAAAAAUAUAAUGACUAUCAAAAUGCAUGUAGCCAUCUUUGCCAAGAGCAAAAUUGUAGGUACUUAUGUGGAUUUUUUUUGUUAAUAUGUAAUUAUGUGGAAAUUGGAAGCCAGAAAAACAUACAAAGUAACCAAGGAUGAAUUGGAGUUUCACCCCAAAACCAUGAAUAGACGCCCCUACACUCUACAGAGCGCCGCAGUUUCCCAUGCGUGCAAUGGUCUUCCACCCUUUCUGAGAGUCCAUUGUGAACAUAGGCAAAAUUAGUGAUGCAAGAAUUGUUUUUUUUCGUGAACUGCAGAGAUUACUUAAUAUCGUCAGUGCAAAUUAGCUAUUCUGUCAAGGUAAAAAAUAACUAAAGAUACAUGAGGUCAUUAUCCGUCCCCUUGCAUGCUGUCAGUGUCAGGUUUGACAUACACUUUCCAACCCAGAGCGGCCAGUUUGCAAAGUCAGCGAAUGGACUGUGUGUGUGUGAUGCGCGUACGCCGUCGCCGUCGCCGUCGCCGUCGUGGCUAGCUGUCCGUUGGAUCGCUGCAAGAGUUGCAAGUACGCAGCAAGCUGAAACCGUUGCAUGCUCAUUGCAUUCAGUAAGGCAACAUCUGCCGACCAGGCUGUCUUGCCUUGAAGAUUAGGAGUAUAUUAUACUGUCCUUGAUUAGGAUACUUGAUGACACUGUUAGACGGUAUUUCGUUCACUGCAUAGCCAACAAGAAAGCGAAAGCGAAAGCGAAUAAACAUCGUACCAUGUCUUUUUCUAGCACAUUGGGAGAAGGUAAAACUUUUCCUUUGUGUAAGCAGUUCGGUUCUUUGUGUGCAGGAAGGAAUUCGAUUCUGGACAUGCAUCGUGUGACGUUGCAUAUUCUGAUCCUUGGCCGAUCCCACGGGGUGAGGCCGCGGAGAUGCGCGCGGCGACGAGAUUAGUGCGUUGUUUAAUCCCAGCUCCUGCUGCUGCUGCCGUGAUUCCGUCGGAUGCAAUAAUGCAUUCUUUCCUUGGUAGGCAAUGCUAAUUGCACUUAACCAACAGCUAAGAGAUGUGGCGUGUUUAUUCCAUCCCAGUGUCAACUCUGCUAUAGCAAAUGCAUGCGGGCGCGUCUCGCUAUAAAUACCAAACCGGUGCAAGAUUCAAAGCAUAAGCCAUACUACAUCACCGUUACUACAUUGCAAGCCAAGCUCAAGAGCAGCAGCAACAGCCACCAUUAGCUGCUUCUAGUUGUUGGCAAAGAUGGAGGUCGAGGCGGGCGCCCAUGGCGACACUGCCGCGAGCAAGUUCACGCUGCCGGUAGACUCCGAGCACAAGGCCAAGUCCUUCAGGCUCUUCUCCUUCGCCAACCCCCACAUGCGCACCUUCCAUCUCUCGUGGAUCUCCUUCUUCACUUGCUUCGUCUCCACCUUCGCCGCAGCGCCCCUUGUCCCCAUCAUUCGUGAUAACCUCAACCUUGCCAAGGCCGACAUCGGCAAUGCCGGUGUGGCAUCCGUUUCUGGGUCCAUCUUCUCCAGGCUUGCCAUGGGUGCCAUCUGCGAUCUCCUCGGGCCGCGGUAUGGAUGUGCAUUCCUCGUCAUGCUCUCGGCACCGACCGUUUUCUGCAUGGCCGUUAUCGAUGAUGCCUCAGGGUACAUCGCCGUCCGCUUUCUCAUUGGCUUCUCGCUUGCUACCUUCGUGUCAUGCCAAUAUUGGAUGAGCACCAUGUUUAAUAGCAAGAUCAUCGGCACAGUCAACGGCCUCGCUGCUGGAUGGGGCAACAUGGGUGGUGGCGCCACGCAGCUCAUCAUGCCGCUCGUCUUCCAUGCAAUCCAGAAGUGUGGUGCCACGCCCUUCGUAGCGUGGCGUAUUGCUUACUUCGUGCCCGGAAUGAUGCACAUCGUGAUGGGCUUGUUGGUACUCACCAUGGGGCAAGAUCUCCCUGAUGGGAACCUCGCAAGCCUCCAGAAGAAGGGAGACAUGGCCAAGGACAAGUUCUCCAAGGUCCUUUGGGGCGCCGUUACCAACUACCGGACAUGGAUCUUUGUCCUCCUCUAUGGCUACUGCAUGGGUGUCGAGCUCACCACCGACAAUGUCAUUGCCGAGUACUACUUCGACCA